rnacentral:rRNA from 1 species
ACACGUAUGCAACCUGUCCGGUACAGGGGGAUAAGCGGCGGAAACGCCGUCUAAUACCGCGUGACAACCCGAGGGGGCAUCCCCUUGGGUUCAAAGGAGAGAUCCGGUACCGGCUGGGCAUGCGGCGCAUUAGCUAGUUGGCGGGGCAACGGCCCACCAAGGCGACGAUGCGUAGGGGUUCUGAGAGGAAGGUCCCCCACACUGGAACUGAGACACGGUCCAGACUCCUACGGGAGGCAGCAGUGAGGAAUAUUGGUCAAUGGGCGCAAGCCUGAACCAGCCAAGUCGCGUGAGGGAAGACGGCCCUACGGGUUGUAAACCUCUUUUGCCGGGGAGCAAGCCUGAGCACGUGUGCCCAGGCGGAGAGUACCCGGAGAAAAAGCAUCGGCUAACUCCGUGCCAGCAGCCGCGGUAAUACGGAGGAUGCGAGCGUUAUCCGGAUUUAUUGGGUUUAAAGGGUGCGCAGGCGGGCUGUUAAGCCGGCGGUAAAAAUUCAGGGCUCAACCCUGUCGAGCCGUCGGAACUGGCAGUCUUGAGUGGGCGAGAAGUAUGCGGAAUGCGUGGUGUAGCGGUGAAAUGCAUAGAUAUCACGCAGAACGCCGAUUGCGAAGGCAGCAUACCGGCGCCCAACUGACGCUGAGGCACGAAAGCGUGGGGAUCGAACAGGAUUAGAUACCCUGGUAGUCCACGCAGUAAACGAU